rnacentral:rRNA from 1 species
UGCAGUCGAGCGGGCCUUUCGGGGUCAGCGGCGGACGGGUGAGUAACGCGUGGGAACGUGCCCUCUGGUUCGGAAUAACUCAGGGAAACUUGAGCUAAUACCGGAUACGCCCUUUUGGGGAAAGGCUUGCUGCCGGAGGAUCGGCCCGCGUCUGAUUAGCUAGUUGGUGAGGUAACGGCUCACCAAGGCGACGAUCAGUAGCUGGUCUGAGAGGAUGAUCAGCCACACUGGGACUGAGACACGGCCCAGACUCCUACGGGAGGCAGCAGUGGGGAAUAUUGGACAAUGGGCGCAAGCCUGAUCCAGCCAUGCCGCGUGAGUGAUGAAGGCCUUAGGGUUGUAAAGCUCUUUUAUCCGGGACGAUAAUGACGGUACCGGAGGAAUAAGCCCCGGCUAACUUCGUGCCAGCAGCCGCGGUAAUACGAAGGGGGCUAGCGUUGCUCGGAAUCAUUGGGCGUAAAGGGCGCGUAGGCGGCGUUUUAAGUCGGGGGUGAAAGCCUGUGGCUCAACCACAGAAUGGCCUUCGAUACUGGGACGCUUGAGUAUGGUAGAGGUUGGUGGAACUGCGAGUGUAGAGGUGAAAUUCGUAGAUAUUCGCAAGAACACCGGUGGCGAAGGCGGCCAACUGGACC